AUGCACGUCGCAGAGAAGCUAGGAAAAAAAACAGAGGAGGAGAGGACUGCCCGUCAAAGAGAAGCCAGGCAACGAAUGACACCAGAGGAGAAGCAACAGAGUAACACCCUUAGAAGGGCGGCGUACCAAAAUAUGUCAGUCCAUGACAAGCAAGAGACAAACGCCCGCCGAAGAACACGUCUGCAAAACAUAUCACCUAAGGAGAAGCAGAACAUGCUAGCUCACCGCAAGAAGAGACUCGCGGCUAGGUGCAACACCCCUUGCGCUGAAUCCAUCGCCAUGCCGCGCCCUGAUGCAGAUACCUUAGCUACACCCAACCUGAUGUCGAGCACUCAUGCAUUGGCAUUCAGAGAAUCUGAAGCUUCAGCUCCUGCCCCUGCCCCCCGGUUUGCGAGUAAGGCUGGGAACAACUUCGAAUCAGACGGUAACCCUUCCAUCUUUACUUUACUUGUUGUGUCCAUGUGCAUUGAACCAGGAUUUAACGGCUCCACAAUGGUGCAGGCGAGUACCUUAGUCGUACCCUGGAUGAUAAUGAUGCCCCCAGCGAACUCAUAA
rnacentral:rRNA from 1 species